AGAGUGCAUAUGCACGAUUACGCGGUAUUACUUGUCGACCUUCGUGUUGUGAGCAUGAAGGAGACGUUGAAUAAAGAUUUCGCCUACGCGAUGACUCCGAUGAAGAUCCUGUCGUGGCCUGUUGGUACCUGGCCUCUUCAAGACUACAAUAUUUUUUCCGCUAUGCGUGUCAUAAUCACGAGUUUUCUUUUGCUACUAAUGCUAAUGAUCGUGCAGUCGGAGAUGUAUUUAGACAGCAACGACGCCGAGAAAAAUCUCGACGCAUUAGUAAUACUAUCCUGCGGCAUUCUGGCGGUGUCAAAGGUCAUUCGUUUUCGUAUUCGGCCGGCUGGUCUUAUCUCGAACUUCACCUCGGCGGUUGAGGAUUAUAACAAAUUGUAUGACCAAGAGAAGGGCGUGAUAUUGCGAAGACACGCUUACAUGGGCAGAGUGGCAGGUAUUGGUGUGGUACUUUUCGCAUAUUUCAGUGCAACUCUCUUCAUGUCUGUGCCAAUGCUGGCUGCGGAGGAAGUGAAAGAUGUAGUUAACGUAACGGAAGAUAAUACUCCGGAAUAUCCUAUACCUUCCGAAAAAGUAAUGGCACUUAUAAAAAUGCCGGAUAAUUUAUACUUCAUUGUUUUUAUCGUGGAGUACUUGAUGUUGUUAUUAACGAGCAAUGGAAAUCUAGGAAGUGAUUCGUUGUUCUUCGGUAUUAUUUUUCACCUGUGUGGUCAAGUAGAAGUUCUGAGGCUCGAGUUCAGCAGACUGAGCAACGAGAACGAAAAAGCAAAGGAACAUUUCAGCGUAUUAACCAAGAGGCAUGUUUACUUAUUGAAUCUAGCCAAGAUGCUGAACGAGACGAUCAGCUCUAUCUUGGCUGUGCAACUAUUCACGAGCUGUAUAGUUAUUUGUACAAGCGGACUUCAAUUGAUUAUUGCUCUGAGCGUUGGAAACAUCGUCAUGACGAUAAAAACGUUUAUAGUACUGAGCACUCUGUUAGUGCAAUUAUUUGCAUACAGCUUCGUGGGCGAAUAUUUAAAGCGUCAAAUGGAAGGCAUCAGUGAUUCGGUGUAUUUCAGCAGUUGGUACGAUAUACCGAAAAGUGUGGGAAAAGAUAUCAUUUACAUCAUUAUGAGAGGCCAAGAGCCAGUUUUCCUGAGGGCUGGAAAAUUUUUUGUAGUUAAUAUGGAAACGUACAUGAGUAUUAUAAAAACUUCUAUGUCGUAUCUCUCAGUUCUGCGGGUAAUGGUAAAUGCUUGAGGCCUUGUAUAAUAUAGAAAUCUAGGAAGUUAUGUUAAUCUAAUAAAGCACAAUAAAAUAUUUAAUAUUAUUAAAAUAUUUUGUGAUUCAGUAUUCAUUUCAAAUGCUCAAAAUCAAAUUGAUCGAAUGUGCGCAAUAAAUUGGCUCAAUAAGCUGUAGUUAAUAAUUCGUACAACGACCGACAGAAGAUACAGCAGUGUCGUUUAUGUAUCGUGGUAUCACCACGCGUCGAAAACGUUUGAAAUAUAUGUAUACGUAAAGACACAUUUAAAUAGAUGAUAUAUAAAUACAGAUUUAAUUAUGGUAAGUAAUGUAAGUUUGUUUAGUGACGUGUUGAAAUUAAAUGCUGCUUCCCUGUAGAAACUGGUAUAUAUUAUUCGUUCGCGUUCUAUCUCCAUAUUUUUCAUAUGAAUAUGGAAUUGACUAUUGAACAUAUUCCCAUUCACAAAACACUAUGUUUGGAAUCUAUUGGAGUAUUAGAAAAUUAGGAAGGUAACACUGGUCUUGGAACGAAUAAUUUGGAAGAAAAUUGAAAUUGCUUAGCUAGUCAGGAUUGAGCAGGACGAAAAUUAGAAAAUCUUAUCGCGUCUAGCGAUAGGACACGUUACCUAUCCCGUGAAUUGAUUGUAUCUGUACAAACGGUCCGUGUUUCCAGGCGCUGUGCAGCGAAAACCGUGUAAUCAGCGGGUGAAGAAAGUUGGGAAACGAAAUUUAUAUGAAAGAAAUGCUCAGUAUAUUUUAAUUUCGUUAUGGUAUAAUGGCAUACGGAGAGAAGAACGUCCUCUGUGCGUUAAAUGCAGAUAUUGCAAUAAAUGUACAUGUACAUACCUACAAGCUUGAAAAUAUGCUGACAUUUCGAAUACUGCUACGCCUCGAUAUCUGUCGGGUCAAGUUAGCAUCGAUGCCACGCUAAUGAGAGACAAUCAGAUGGAAACACGCACAACACCUCAGUCCACAACAACACCCAGCAGCUCGUUCUGUUCAGGUGAACGUGAAUUCAAAAUUUGCUGCAGCGCAACGUCGGAAAUUCGACCUCAUCAGUGAUCGAUCUUGUCACAAACAUUCCGUGAUGUGUUCGUACCAUUUGCUACAAAUUUUAAACUGCAAGCUCUGAACACAGAACACCGGCGUCCCGUUCAUACUGGCUGAUUCGUGGAAAGGAAGUGCGAACGGCCAACUGCUCGUAUCUGUCUCACGAAAUCGUUACAACUGUACACGGUGGUUAUUUGUACGGUGGGUUGCUGUGUGGUUUAUACUCGUAAUUCUUUGGUUUCAGACGCGUACGUAGCGUGGAUACGAAAGGCGGUUUGAUUUCCGUACCAAGCCGGUUACAACUUCCCGUCUACGCACCGUGUUCCGCUUGACAGAUGCUUGAUCGUAUAACUACGUAUGCACAGUGCUUCCGUCGGCAUCGCUUCCAGACGUACUAUGGCUCGCAUUCAAUUCUCUCGAUUAGUAUCCAGUUGGGAUCGAUGAGCACGCAUCCUUACGUAGUGGGGCCACGCUCACCACCCACUCCCUCGCCGAUUCUUCAGGAGGAUCACGCGAAUCGAUGUUCCAAAACUCAGCGAAUUCAUCGGCAAAUCUGAAUAGUCCCUAGAAAGUGAACGAUUAUUUUCUGGCAAGCUACUGCGUAUUGGUAUUGCAGGCAAUGCGCACAUUCGUCAACACGGUAGCUAACGAUGAAUUAUUCUUCAGCUUAACGAUGGAACUCUGUGGCUAAAUCGAGGUUUGCAAUAUAAAUCUUAGCAAGUGGAAUUCGGUUGUAAAAAAAACUUCGAUUUGUCGAGAAACGACACUACCAGCCCGCGGUACUGGCCGAUGCAAACCUUCAAUAGGCUCGCUCUAGAACAGUUACUAAUGAGUGCCUUGCCGAUUUGCAUCGAAGGGUUAUAUAUGAUAAUGCAGUUCGCUAUUAACGCUAGAACUGUUGACGAUCAAGAUGUAACACUUGUACCAAGGAAAUGAAAAUGGUAGAUACACGAAAGCAAACAUAAUU